GGUUAAGCGACUAAGCGUACACGGUGGAUGCCCUGGCAGUCAGAGGCGAUGAAGGACGUGCUAAUCUGCGAUAAGCGUCGGUAAGGUGAUAUGAACCGUUAUAACCGGCGAUUUCCGAAUGGGGAAACCCAGUGUGAUUCGUCACACUAUCAUUAACUGAAUCCAUAGGUUAAUGAGGCGAACCGGGGGAACUGAAACAUCUAAGUACCCCGAGGAAAAGAAAUCAACCGAGAUUCCCCCAGUAGCGGCGAGCGAACGGGGAGCAGCCCAGAGCCUGAAUCAGUGUGUGUGUUAGUGGAAGCGUCUGGAAAGGCGCGCGAUACAGGGUGACAGCCCCGUACACAAAAAUGCACAUGCUGUGAGCUCGAUGAGUAGGGCGGGACACGUGGUAUCCUGUCUGAAUAUGGGGGGACCAUCCUCCAAGGCUAAAUACUCCUGACUGACCGAUAGUGAACCAGUACCGUGAGGGAAAGGCGAAAAGAACCCCGGCGAGGGGAGUGAAAAAGAACCUGAAACCGUGUACGUACAAGCAGUGGGAGCACGCUUCGGCGUGUGACUGCGUACCUUUUGUAUAAUGGGUCAGCGACUUAUAUUCUGUAGCAAGGUUAACCGAAUAGGGGAGCCGAAGGGAAACCGAGUCUUAACUGGGCGUUAAGUUGCAGGGUAUAGACCCGAAACCCGGUGAUCUAGCCAUGGGCAGGUUGAAGGUUGGGUAACACUAACUGGAGGACCGAACCGACUAAUGUUGAAAAAUUAGCGGAUGACUUGUGGCUGGGGGUGAAAGGCCAAUCAAACCGGGAGAUAGCUGGUUCUCCCCGAAAGCUAUUUAGGUAGCGCCUCGUGAAUUCAUCUCCGGGGGUAGAGCACUGUUUCGGCAAGGGGGUCAUCCCGACUUACCAACCCGAUGCAAACUGCGAAUACCGGAGAAUGUUAUCACGGGAGACACACGGCGGGUGCUAACGUCCGUCGUGAAGAGGGAAACAACCCAGACCGCCAGCUAAGGUCCCAAAGUCAUGGUUAAGUGGGAAACGAUGUGGGAAGGCCCAGACAGCCAGGAUGUUGGCUUAGAAGCAGCCAUCAUUUAAAGAAAGCGUAAUAGCUCACUGGUCGAGUCGGCCUGCGCGGAAGAUGUAACGGGGCUAAACCAUGCACCGAAGCUGCGGCAGCGACACUAUGUGUUGUUGGGUAGGGGAGCGUUCUGUAAGCCUGUGAAGGUGUGCUGUGAGGCAUGCUGGAGGUAUCAGAAGUGCGAAUGCUGACAUAAGUAACGAUAAAGCGGGUGAAAAGCCCGCUCGCCGGAAGACCAAGGGUUCCUGUCCAACGUUAAUCGGGGCAGGGUGAGUCGACCCCUAAGGCGAGGCCGAAAGGCGUAGUCGAUGGGAAACAGGUUAAUAUUCCUGUACUUGGUGUUACUGCGAAGGGGGGACGGAGAAGGCUAUGUUGGCCGGGCGACGGUUGUCCCGGUUUAAGCGUGUAGGCUGGUUUUCCAGGCAAAUCCGGAAAAUCAAGGCUGAGGCGUGAUGACGAGGCACUACGGUGCUGAAGCAACAAAUGCCCUGCUUCCAGGAAAAGCCUCUAAGCAUCAGGUAACAUCAAAUCGUACCCCAAACCGACACAGGUGGUCAGGUAGAGAAUACCAAGGCGCUUGAGAGAACUCGGGUGAAGGAACUAGGCAAAAUGGUGCCGUAACUUCGGGAGAAGGCACGCUGAUAUGUAGGUGAAGUCCCUCGCGGAUGGAGCUGAAAUCAGUCGAAGAUACCAGCUGGCUGCAACUGUUUAUUAAAAACACAGCACUGUGCAAACACGAAAGUGGACGUAUACGGUGUGACGCCUGCCCGGUGCCGGAAGGUUAAUUGAUGGGGUUAGCCGCAAGGCGAAGCUCUUGAUCGAAGCCCCGGUAAACGGCGGCCGUAACUAUAACGGUCCUAAGGUAGCGAAAUUCCUUGUCGGGUAAGUUCCGACCUGCACGAAUGGCGUAAUGAUGGCCAGGCUGUCUCCACCCGAGACUCAGUGAAAUUGAACUCGCUGUGAAGAUGCAGUGUACCCGCGGCAAGACGGAAAGACCCCGUGAACCUUUACUAUAGCUUGACACUGAACAUUGAGCCUUGAUGUGUAGGAUAGGUGGGAGGCUUUGAAGUGUGGACGCCAGUCUGCAUGGAGCCGACCUUGAAAUACCACCCUUUAAUGUUUGAUGUUCUAACGUUGACCCGUAAUCCGGGUUGCGGACAGUGUCUGGUGGGUAGUUUGACUGGGGCGGUCUCCUCCUAAAGAGUAACGGAGGAGCACGAAGGUUGGCUAAUCCUGGUCGGACAUCAGGAGGUUAGUGCAAUGGCAUAAGCCAGCUUGACUGCGAGCGUGACGGCGCGAGCAGGUGCGAAAGCAGGUCAUAGUGAUCCGGUGGUUCUGAAUGGAAGGGCCAUCGCUCAACGGAUAAAAGGUACUCCGGGGAUAACAGGCUGAUACCGCCCAAGAGUUCAUAUCGACGGCGGUGUUUGGCACCUCGAUGUCGGCUCAUCACAUCCUGGGGCUGAAGUAGGUCCCAAGGGUAUGGCUGUUCGCCAUUUAAAGUGGUACGCGAGCUGGGUUUAGAACGUCGUGAGACAGUUCGGUCCCUAUCUGCCGUGGGCGCUGGAGAACUGAGGGGGGCUGCUCCUAGUACGAGAGGACCGGAGUGGACGCAUCACUGGUGUUCGGGUUGUCAUGCCAAUGGCACUGCCCGGUAGCUAAAUGCGGAAGAGAUAAGUGCUGAAAGCAUCUAAGCACGAAACUUGCCCCGAGAUGAGUUCUCCCUGACUCCUUGAGAGUCCUGAAGGAACGUUGAAGACGACGACGUUGAUAGGCCGGGUGUGUAAGCGCAGCGAUGCGUUGAGCUAACCGGUACUAAUGAACCGUGAGGCUUAACCUU
rnacentral:rRNA from 1 species